CCUACGGGAGGCAGCAGUGAGGAAUAUUGGUCAAUGGGCGGGAGCCUGAACCAGCCAAGUCGCGUGAAGGAAGAAGGUACUUAGUAUUGUAAACUUCUUUUGUCGGGGAAAAAAGGCGGAGACGCGUCUCCGGAUGAGUGUACCCGAAGAAAACGCAUCGGCUAACUCCGUGCCAGCAGCAGCGGUAAUCCGGAGGCUGCGAUCGUUAUCCGGCUUUAUUGGGUUAAAAGGGUGCGCAGGCGGGCGAGCAAGUCAGCGGUAAAAGGUCGGGGCUCAACCCCGGCCGGCCGUUGAAACUGGUUGUCUAGAGUUGGAGAGAGGUAUGCGGAAUUCGUGGUGUAGCGGUGAAAUGCAUAGAUAUCACGAAGAACACCGAUGGCGAAGGCAGCAUACCGGCUCCAUACUGACGCUGAGGCACGAAAGCGUGGGGAGCGAACAGGAUUAGAUACCCUUGUAGUC
rnacentral:rRNA from 1 species